AAUGUGUAGCAUCUGGAA
rnacentral:snRNA from 1 species